GUCUGAUGCCGAACUGGUUCUUUGAGAAAAUUGCACCUGCUUGCACGUCCACUGACCAGCUGAAGGGCUGGCUAAGCUUCGUGACUGCUUUUCUUCCGCUCACCACUGGAAUAUCCACACUGGUCUCCCUCUAGGAGGGAUCCUGAUACCUGUGAUAUCCAAGUUCUGCCGAGCUUACUCCAUUUACCAACUCUGCUCCAAAGGAAAUAGAAGGCUGCUUCAAAACAUUAAAUCCAUGAAGAGUGGACAGAGGCCGGCCAGGACUAGGAUAUUCAAAAGUACGUGCUGGGUCCGGCCCCGUGGCCAAGUGGUUAAGUUCACAAGCUCUGCUUCGGUGGCACAGGGUUUUGCAGGUUCAGAUCCCGGGCACGGAC
rnacentral:lncRNA from 1 species